UUAAGUGAAGCCAAAAAAGAGGCAUUUUAUUGUUAAUAAAACAAUUGAAAUUUUAUUUCCAUUUAAA
rnacentral:tRNA from 1 species